AAAGCAAUACAAGCAAAUGCCUCUUUGUAUACUGUCUUGUCAAAGGAAAGAUCUGUUUCUGGAAGAAUGCUAACCUUUGAUGAGAAGUGAGUUCUUUACAAUACUCUAUAGCACCAUCAUUGAAUGGCACCAAAUGAACUUUUCCCAAAUAACCAAAAUCACCACUGCAUCGACAGAAGGUUAUGUUCUUUAUUUGAUGCAAUAUUCAGGAUAUCGUGCAUUGCAAAUUGCUGCCAUCUGGCAGCUAAUCAAUGCAGCUAUGUACUCUCAGCAUCUGGAAUGUGUACAUGAAAAACUGAAAACAAUGGAGCCAGCACUUAUGAAUCAC
rnacentral:lncRNA from 1 species